CCGAGACAGGGAUUAACCUAGACGCGAUUCCCCGCUGUGAAAAAUCCACCCAUCUCCUCCCGAUUCCCAGCCGCCGCCGCCACCGCAUCCUCUCUCCUCCCCUGACGUCGCCUUUUCCCCCUCCUCUCCUCGCAACGGCCUCCUCCUUCCUGCAGCGCCUCUUCCUCUCUUCCUUGCUGAUGGCGCCACCCGCCGGUCGAUGCCUCCUGUCUUGCCCUUUCCAUGGGGAGGUGGAGAUGGGAAGAUGGCGUUGGAGGAGGGAGCACGGGUGGGCGCCGCAGCUGAAGCACGGGUGGCCUGGUUGUGGCCUGGUUGUGGUGGAGCAUGGCGGGAGUCCGGGCGGCGUCGUGGUCGUGGUCAAGAGGAGAAGCACGGGUGGCCGCCGUAGCUGAGCUUCUAUGUAAUAUAGUUCCGAUGAAUCCUCUGCCGCAUCUGGCCUCUGCAGGUUGGGCUCUCCUGUUCUUUUUUGUUGGCUUGACGUACGCACUGGCAACCUCUUAUGUGAGGGAUUCAGCAUGCCUCUAUUUGAGAGAAAAGAUAUGGAGAAGCGGAUUUUCAGGUAUGCUCUAUGGUUUGGAGCAAUGCCACUUUGAUUUGGUUCACAUUUUCUUUAUAGGUUGAUGUUGUCUGUUGAGUAUAUGAGGUUGCCGCUGCUCCAUGUUAAGUACCAGCCAGAACUGCCAUUAUAUAUUUAUUAAGCUGAUGAAGACAUAUGUUGCAGCUGAAGUUUCUUAUUUAAUUACAAGUGAUGAAGACAUAUGUUGCAGCUGAAAUGAUUGCCCUUGCAUCGUGCUAAUUAAAUCACAUCUGCAUUCUGAUGAUCCCAGAAUCUGAUUAUUAGGCAUAGAAGUGAGAAAACUUCCACGAUGAAGUGACUGCUUCACAUGCACAUGGCUUGCCUGAUAUAAUCACGACCUUCGCGUGUGAUCUGGAGUGGCCUGAGAUAGUUCAGGGUCUUGAACAUGGGCAAAAAGCAGUCGACAGGACUGAUAUUACCGUACGGGUGCAUCAGAUGAAGCUUCUUGAUUACCUGCAGAAAAUCAGCACCGGGCAGGUGUUCGGGACUGUCGUUGCUGUUGUCCACACUGUGGAGUUCCAAAAGAGGGGUCUGCCCCAUGCACGUAUCCUUGUUUGGCAGUAGAACAGUGCCCAGGGAUCUAAACUGACCUGAUGUUGACGAUGGUACUGCUGCCACUGCACUUGCUAAGACCAUGGAAACUGCACUUGCUCAGCCACCCAGACUUAAAAUGUACGCCCUCUCUCUGCAAUGAAGCAAAAGAUGCUUUUACCUGCCUAUCCAAACUGGAAAUGCACGCAUGGAUCAUUAAAAAAUUAGCUAGGAAACGCCGUGCAGUGGAUCUUCUGAUGCUAUAGCAAUUAUAGUUUUGAUUCCUCUGUUUCCUUAGUUUGCCUUGUUAGGUUUUUUCCCUAUUCAUAUACAAUAUGAAUAUAUAUCUCUCAUAUACUCCUUUUGCUGAAAACAUUCUGAUGCUGCUGCUACUACAAAGACCGGUUCAUCAAAAAAAAAGUAGUUGAUCCAUGCUUGGGGAUAAGCAUGCGUGUGUGGUUGAUUUGUAUAUAGAAGCUUGAUGCCUUGACCCUCGCUACUUCCACCCUCACUGCUAAGGGCGCCGUCCACAAGAACAAGUGAAGACUGCUGUGUUGCUGCCGUGUUUACAAAUGAGGUCUUUGGCGCUCAUAGAGUCAUGCCAAACCUUUGUUGAUGCAUUUCCCUGUUUAAGAUCCGAACUAAGCUACUUUCAUGUCUUAUAAAUGCCAUCGUUUGCCUUUUGAACGAUGCUAUGUUGCUUUUC